UACGUAGGCGGCUUUGUAAGUUAGAGGUGAAAGCCCGGAGCUCAACUCCGGAAUUGCCUUUAAGACUGCAUCGCUUGAAUCAUGGAGAGGUGAGUGGAAUUCCGAGUGUAGAGGUGAAAUUCGUAGAUAUUCGGAAGAACACCAGUGGCGAAGGCGACUCACUGGACAUGUAUUGACGCUGAGGUACGAAAGCUGGGGAGCAAACA
rnacentral:rRNA from 1 species